ensembl:lncRNA
AGAUGUCAUGGUUUUGUAACUUCGCUAUUGGUAUUCCACAUCAUAACAUCAUGGACAAAAGAGAAGAACUACGUAUCCCAGAGGACCUCACGGUCAGAGAAGGAAGACACAUCACGGAAGAUACGUCAUCUGGUUGCGCGCGGUUCUUCUUCACUUUCGCUUGCUGCCAGGAGAGUGUGCUCCCAAGCCGGGAGUGCUUUCCCAAGCUUGGGUGUGCUUUCCAAGCCGGGCGCCUUCAUCAAGUUCCCAUUGCACUGAACUGAAUGGUGCUGUACAGUUUUUUCUCGUUAAUGCCAUCAUCAAUACUCAGAUCACUUUCUUAAGAAGAAUUAUUCACACUGCUGCCACCUAAAUUAAUGCAGCAUUUCCAGAAUACAUUUGACUGGUAUAUAUGUAAUCAGAAAUAAACAUUUUUGGACUUCUACCCUGGAUCUAUGAGAACCAGAGUAAUAUUAAAAAUGACAUGGUGAUUUAUUCAUGUUUCUUGAUUAACUUUUUACCAUCAAAUUUGUGACAGCUAAAAACUCUUUCAGUUUUGAUGAUGAUUAAUCCAUAUGAUGUGGCAGAUAUCCAAUAAGUAUGAUACUGUGAGUUUUUCUUGAUUUUCCUGUAUCUACAAAAUUGUGUUUAUUCACUUUUCCUGUAUUAUGUGUCAAUGUCUUCCAAAUUUUUAUUUUCUCUCAUGUCCUUAUUCUUUCCAGAAAUAAUUCUUGUGAAGCAGCAUCCUCAUAUAAUUCAUUGACAUUACAGUUCUUGAUAGAGUUGUGUUUCUUGUCACAUCUCUUAUUACUUAAAUCCUAUAUUAAUUUCUUUGUAAGACUCUGGACAGAAACAGAAGUGUGACAUUUGACAGCAAAGACCAUAGUCUUAUGUAAUAGUAGACAACAGUAGUAGUCUGUUCAGCACAAUCAUUAAUUGUUCAGGUAUUCAUUCUAUUCAAACAUAUGAUUUUUUUUUUUUUUUUGAAAAAAAAAGUGAUUGAUCAUAGCCAUUGAUAAAAACCUUAUACGGAUCCUUAUAUUAAAAAUUCCCCUGUGAGUUGGUCAGAUUUCUGCUCCAGAAGUCUGCAAGGGAAAAUGUAAGAUAUCUUGGACUCUUUUUUAUUAUUAUUAUUUAGCUAUAUUGUUAUGUACAUGCAUUACAUUACACACUUGUUUGGAAAUAUUUAGCUAGUAAACAAUGUCCAUACCAGAUUCUGGGUAUACUAAACAAUAAGAGUUGUUUAGUGUAAGAACUGGGGGCCCAAAGCCUGGACACAGAACUCUAGAUGGGACCCUCACUAAGGCAGAGUAGAGGGGUAUGGUUACCUCCCUUACCUUACUGGUCACUCCUCUUUUGACACAGUCCACAGUAUGGUUAGCCUUCUGGCCUACAAGCACACACUGUUGGCUCAUAUACAGAACCUCCAAGUAUUUCUCAGAGGACUGCUCACACCGAGUUCUCCCUAUCUAUUUAGAUGUCUGGGAUUGCCUUGACCCAGAUGUUGUACCUUGCAAUUGGCUUUGUUGAAGCUCAUUAGACUCACAUGGGCGUUCUCAAGCUUGUCCAGGUCUCUGUCUCCCUUUCUACACUUUUAUAAACAUAUAUUAUUAUGUUUCCCUUUUCCCAGUCACUGGGGAAUUUUGCUCUUCUCUUAUAGUGGGAGGGAUUUUGUUCCCCCAGCCCUCACCUAGAAUUUCAAGGUCUUGAGAGACUGCCGCAUUAAAGUGUUAAUGCCCACGUCAGCACUACAGGUCCACUUGUGCUUAUCUGGACUUCUAUAACCAACAAUCAACAGUAGAUUACAUGGCCACACAAAUGAGAACUCUUAUGAUUACAAUUACAGUUUCACUCAUAGUGCAGAGCACCUUCAUCUAACCGCAUUCUAACGGACUUGAACAAUAACUCUUAAGGAGCUUGGCUGUGCCUAAUGAGAACUUUUAUGACUAGCUUGUAGAAUAGUGCUCUUUAUUGGAGCAACAGAUUACAGAUUCUUAUGAAUUGCUGGUGAUAAAUACACAGUAUACAGAGCAUGUGCAAAUAUCAAUAAUGUGAAUAAUAAAGUCAACUGUAAACACAUUAAACUAUGGAAUGAUUUUACAGAGAUUUCUAAGUUUCACAGGAAAAGGACUCAAUGUAACUGAGUGUGUGAAUCUUACACAAUAGAUGUCCCUAUGUAGGGAAAAGAGAGGCUAAGCCCGUUGACUGGUCCCAGAAGUCAGUGGUGUUCUCCUGUCUCAACUGCAGUGGUAUCUUCCCCAGUAUUCCUUCUUUUUUUUUAAGCCAGUUUUAUACAAUUUUCUUACUUUCAGACAGAACUCGAGUGACUCUAAUCAUAACUAUAUUUGUUGUGACUGGUGCAAAUAAAAAUUGAAAAGCUGCUGAGUCAGGAUGACUACUAUGCAGUUUAUCAGUUCCACAAUACCACCAAGUUCCCACCCCUGUGAUCUUAUCAUGGAGCCUGACCGAGAAGUUUCACAGCUCGUUCCACCGCCUGUGCUGUAUCUCUUAGAGUCAGCAUACCAAGCUCCCCUGAUGCUUCUAACAAUCUAAAGUUUUCAGGUGUAGCAGACCAAAGAAAAAAGCCUCAUCUGUAAUAUGCCUAGAAUUGUCUCAAACACUUGCAAGAUAGGACAAUCACCAUGACAUCAAACUGAAGGCCAAAGAGUUGGUUUGGAAGGGGGAGUUCUGUGCAAACAGGAUGAGCUUGUUCCCUCCAAAACUUCCCUGUUUUGCUGCAGAAAUUUUGUCUGCAAAACUGCAACCUGAUUUUGCCAAACUGUUUUUUGCAAACUUGUUUGUUGCAAACUUACAGAUGAGCUUGAGAGAGUGAACCCUGUAAAUUUAGAAGGCAUUGAAGGAGGCCUGAGAGAACCUCUAGGGGGCUUUGAGAUUUCGAUACUUUGAAAAUUCUGGAUGAGUUCUCCCACAAACCAAGGACCACCCCUUUGGCUGGACCAGCACUGGAACCUGGACUGGUGAUCUCUUUCUUUGCCUGUUUUGCUCUCUCUCCCCUCAUCUCUCUCUCUCUCUCUUUUCUUUCUUUUUCUCUCAUAAAGUGAUUAAUGCGAGGCUUAUUUGAUUUCUUAUAAAGUCACAUAGUUUACCCUUGCAGUUUAGAGAGAUAUAAUUGUAAGAGUGCUAAUACUUUUAAGAUAAUUGUAAUACAGAGAUUCUCAUUAAAAAAGUUGAUUGUGUCUGGACCUUGAGUAUUGUUUUACCUUGAUCUAACUGGGGGGAUUUGUGAAUCUUAUCACCAGUCCCUCCCUUCACGGACAGGAAGUGACAGCAGUGCUAUGUUGCUUAGGAAAAUAUCAUGGAACAGACGCCUUUCAUUUUCACUGUAUUCCCCACAGGUGGUUUCUUCUAUGCUUUUGUUCCUUUAAGUGUGGUAUCUCUCAAUCUGAGGUUUUCUUCUGCUGCUUCCUAAAGUAACAGUAGCUCCUGGCUCUUUUCUGUCAUGCAGAAGUGUAUCUCCUUUACCAGUUUAUUUGCUAGCUGCUAAUAAAUCCAACUAGUGAAGAUCAGGUUUGUGGCCACCUGAGGAACUUGAUCACCUACAAGUCUAUGGGUCCCAAUGAGAUGCAUCCCAGAGUCCUGAGAGAAUUUGCUGAUGUAGUUGCCAAGCCACUCUUUGUGAUAUUUGAACAGUUGUGGCAAUCAGGAGAAGACCCUGGUAACUGGAAGAAAAGGCAGCAUCAUACCCAUUUUUAAUAAGGGUAAAAGGGAUGAUCCUGAGAACUACUGUCCUAUCAGUCUCACCUCUGUACCAGGAAAGAGAGCAGAUCCUCCUGGAAGCUAUACUAAGAUACAUGGAAGGCAAGGAGGUGAAGUAGGAGAACCAGCAUGGCUUCACCAGUGCCAAAUCCUGUUUGACUAACAUGGUGGCCUUUUAUGAUGGUGUCACUGCAUCUGUGUAUAAGGGAAGAGACACUGAUGUCAUCUAUCUGGUCUUCAGUAAGGCCUUUUACAUGAUACCCCCAUUACAUUCUUCUCUCCAAAUUGGAAAUAUAUGGAUUUGAUGGGUGGACUGUUCAAUGGAUGAAGAACUGGCUGCAGGAUUGAGUCCAGAGAGUUGAACUGACUAGGAAAUUAUUCCAACAACAAAGAAAUGGCAUAUUGACUUUUUUGAUGAAGAAUGCUCAUUACACUAACAGUAAGAAAAAGUCACUUUUGUACUGACACAUGAGUAUUGUUUCUUUGUGACAUGUAUUCUGAUACUUUCUUACUUAUUUGUGUGUGUCUUACUUUGGUAUCACUAAAACAAAGGAAAAUAAACAUCACUAGCUGUGUAAAGGAGGGUCAGCUGCGAUUUAGAUCGAAAGGAAGAAAAAUGUUCAGUGUAAAACUUCACUUACGUGCCCCAAACAUACCUAUGUUCAUGGUGAUUAUCUACUAGGAAAAACCACAGUGUGAUUGCCAAAUUUACUCCUCAAGACAGAGGGAAAAGGAACAAAAGAGUCAUGUUACUGUGUUUUCCCACCAGACUUUUCUGUCAUUUGAAAAUAUGAAAAAGCUUAUACUGCUUUUUUUGGGCAGUCUAAGUACUAUUCUCAGCUCAUUAUAGUGCUUAUCCUCCUUAUCUUUUGCAGCAGUCAGAGUUGUCAAAAUGUGCAGGCAUUUUUUCCUCAGCAAAUACGUGUAGCUCCCUGGCAGAACUCUCGGGUAUCUGAGCUGGCAGCUUUGGUGCUGUCACUUGAACUGUUACGUACAUGUACUGCUGAUUAGUUCUUCUUGCUGUUGUAUUCACCCACAUCAUUGUUGCUUGUCUUGUAGAUGUUAUUUUUCUUUCAUUAUAACUUGUGCUCUUUCACUUUUUUUCACUGAGACUUCCUUGAAACUGAGAGUUAUUUUUUGUCUCAUCUUUUUAAUCACAUCAUACAAGCAAAAUAUGCAUAAAGGGGUCAUUUUCUCAUUUAGUUUUCUUUGAGAAUUAGAACUGUGAUAUUCCACUGAACAUACGUAUAUAAUGAAAGUUUAUGAGCAUGACUGAAUCACGUAAGUGAAACUGUACAUAUCUGUGUUGUACAGACAUGACAGAAAAAUAAGAAACCUAAGGGAAAUAUGGCAGUCAUAACUGUUUUCUUACCAUCACUUAGGUUGUUCUGUCAUCUUCAUAAUUUCAUCUAGCCAGUUUCAUAUAUGCCAUGAUAUCCUAACAUAAUUUUGGUAAUGUUAUUCCUGAUAUAAAAUGGAAAGUCUACUUUGUGCAAAGGAGAAAUCAUAAAAGGGAUUUAGAAAUUAAUAAGCCAAAAAAUGGUGGAGGAGAUCGAGCAGGCUAAAAGGCAAGAUGAGCUCCAAAGUUAAUACUAUGAGAAAGAGAAUAAUUCAACUCUUUUAUUUGUUGAUGACAUAGUAGGUAUUAGAAGGCAAGUCAUUUUGCACAUGUACAGCAAGUUUCAUAACAGUAACAAAAACAAACCAAAAACCACAGUGUUAUCUUAGAGAAGGUACGAAUAAAUAGAAUUACAAGUAUACUUCUGAGGGUGAAGGAAAUCUCUUGAUAUUGAGAGAAUUAACAUAGUUUGAUCAGGUUUUUUUUUGUUUGUUUUUUGUUUUUUUUUUAAUGGUAAAUUUAUAAAUAUCAUUAUAGCAUUCAACAUUAAAAAAAAUCUAAAAAAUCCAGC